ACAGUAUUCUGCUUGCAUGUAUCCCUUCAGGCCAGAAGAGGGAGCCAGACCUCAUUACAGAUGGUUGUGAGCCACCAUGUGGUUGCUGGGAAUUGAACUCAGGUCCUCUGGAAGAACAGCCAGUGCUCUUAACCUCUGAGCCAUCUCUCCAGCCCAAGAAAUUUUUUUAAAAAAACCCAAGAUGGACAGCAGCUGAUGAAUGACCCGACAGACAAGGUUGACCUCUGACCUCCACACUUGUACACCCACACACACCUGCACACACACAAACAUGAAUGCAAAAAAGGAGCAACUAUCAGAUACUCCUACUCUGUCCCACUGUCGGCCACAGAGAAAGGGGGUCCAAGGGUCCCCAUUAAGACUUAACUGUGAUUUUUCUCAAUGGUACGAGCUGAAUUAAAUUAUUGCUUUCUUUGUUGGUUCACUUGUUUGGACGCAGGGUCUAACUAAUGUAAUUGGUUGGUUAGUUGAUUUAGACACAAUCUCACAAUGCAGCCCAAUCUGGCCUCAAUCCUCCUGCCUCAGCAUCCCAAGUGCUGGAGUUACAAGCCUUAGCCACCAUUCCCGGCUACUCAUUUUCUUUCUAGGGAGCUUCUAUCCCACUCUCUCAGUGAAGUCUGGGUUGGUAGCAAUAGUCACUUUCGGGGUCUGAAGAGAGGUGACAUGUCGGUGAACAAUCCUAAAACGAUUCUCAAAGGUGCCCCAGCUGCUUCGAUUAAACCCCAGCAAGCUUCAACAGGCUCCGAAAAUGCCACCUUUCUGAAGCCACUCAGCUCAGGAACAGCCUUGGGCAUCUGCCAGAACCCUAUGUAUUCCUCGGAGAAGAAGCAAGCAAUCUCCAUGAUCUGAGCCCCGUGGGUGAACGCUAAACUAAACACGGUGGCAGUGGCGAGGGAGCUGCCUAGAGGCCUGAAGGGUCACAUAAGACUUCAGCCAGUGCAGAAUUAGCAAAUAAAAACCAACUCUAGGAGGUGGGUACGUCACACUCAGUGGUAGAGCAUUCCCAGUAUAUGUAUACGCGGCCUUGGGUUUCAUCCCCAGUAAUGCAAAAUAAAAAAACUAAAUAAAUAAAAUCAGGGCUAAGAGAUGGCUCAGGGGUCAAGAAGGUUUGCUGCUCUUGCCAAGAGAACCUAAGUUUAGUUCCCAGUGCCCAUUUCAGGUGGCUCAACUGCACAGUAACCUCUACUCCAUGGAAAUUUCAUGCCUCUGGACACACACACACACACACACACACCCCUCAAAUACGUACAUAAAAAUAAGAAAUUAAUAAAUAAUAAAAAUAAGUCACUCUCUCCUUUCCACUUUGCACCAAUAAAUAAAUAGAUAAAUAAAUAAGAUGUUAAAUCACCCCCUCCAACAACCCCAAGGACAGCUGGAGUGGUGGUGUCUCGCUGUCUUGGUGGAGUGGACAGCAUGUCGGGCACCACCCUGUAAGACAAUUUCACACCAAACGGCUUUACAACCUCUACUAAGCUCUGAUUCCUGUGGUUUUGUGUGAGUAUGUGUGUGUGUGAGUGUGCGUGUGUGAGUGUGUGUAAGUUGAUCUUUGCGACUGGGAGACAGCAGUUAGAUGCAGAACACGAGUCCCUCCACGUGCACAAAUGCCGUGAUAUUGAGCACACGCGAGGGGUUAGCACAGUGCCCUGCUCUUUCUACAGGUCUUGGGAACUCGGCAGUCCAGGCUCCACCUGGCCACUGCAGAAUGUAGUUCAUACCACAAUUUAUCAGACUUCACAACCACACAGCACCGGCUCUCCCGGCUGCUAUGUCUUGAACCCAGGAAUGUCUCCUUUUUAUGUUUUAAAAAAAAAAAGCCCCUGGGGCCUUGGGAUGGCGCCCCAGUCUUGGCGCCUAAGGAACUGCAUGCAGACACAGCUUCCCCAGGAGCUAAGGAAUGAGGCGCAAAUGGGAUCUCACAGGCUCCUCGUGCAAAGGAACAGUUUUGAGAAGAAACGCCCCGAAUGGGGGGCCGAAGGUGCACGUGGCCCGCACUGUGGAAUCAAACCGCAGCGCGGGGUCCGGGCUUAGCACCACCUGCCCGUGGGUCGAAGCAUCCUGGGGUCCUCCAGAGCCCCGAGACUGGACUAGAACUACCUGCUGCUGCCCAGGCGCCCUCAGACCAAGUCUAAGGAAGUUCACUCCCCGGAGCGCUGGCUACACUCUGAUUGGCCAGAAAACUCCAGGGAUCCCUGUCUCCACCUUCCCGGUGCUGGGAUUACAAGUGUGUACUGCUGUACCCACCCAGUGUUUUGCAUAGGUUCCUGGGAUAGAAGUCAGGUUCUCUGCCGUCUGAGACUAUCUAUCUAGAGGGCAUCUCUCCGUGUAGCCUUGGCCGCGAAUUCCUGAGAUCACCCUGCCUCAGCCUCUAGUGUACUAGAAUGGCAGGUACACAUCACCACUCCCAGCUGAGAGGUGUAAUAAUCUGUAGACCUUUCAAGAAAUUGACUUUUAGGAUAGAAUGCAGACCAGCAAAGCCCAGUGACAAAGCUACACACACACACACACACACACACACACACACACACACACACACACACACGGAGUUCCUAGUGGGGGUGGGCAUGAAGAGGAGUCAGCCACAUGACCAGAGUAGGACACACUUGGCAGAAGUUCUCACUCUGUUCUCCCUGCUGCCUAUGGGCAAGUUAUCUGUUCUUUCUGAAUCUUGCCGUUCUCAUCUGUAAAAUGGGAACAAUGCUAGCAUCUACCCCUUUAAGGUCUUCGUAAGGAUUAAAUGCCACCCUGUGAAGUAACAGUAUACUAAAGGUCACUCAGCUCCAAGCCUAAAGUAAGCUUCGACAAACAUGGGCCUUUGUUGCUGUGUGGUGAGAAUCCUCAUCCUGAGCACGUCUGCCCCCUCUUCAUAUUGUCCCGGUGACAAACCGUUCCCCCAGAAUUCAAUCUGGGGAACCAAUGACUUUAUUGGACUUAACUUAGAAAGCAUGAGUGAGGAGGUGACUGACAGGACUGUGGGUGACCCCAAAACAGCCACAGUGGAGAAUCUUUACCCAGGCUGGAUGAUGAUUUUCCUAUAACUAUAUAAAUGAGCCCCCCCUUUAAUCAACCUUCCCUAGACUCUAACACAGUGGUUCUCAACCUUCCUAAGGCUAUGACCCUUUAAUACAGUUCCUCAUCCUGGGGUGACCCCCCACAACCAUAAAGUUAUUUUUGUUGCCACUUCAUAACUGUAAUUUUGCUACUGUUAUGAACCAUAAUGUAAAUAUUUUUGGAGAUAGAGGGUUGUUGUGGGGGUCACGACCCACAGGUUGAGAACUACUGCUCUAACACGUUUGAGAUUCCAAAGACCACUCACAGUUAGGGCCAAAUUGAAUACAGAUGGCUGAGAGCAGUGGUUGGAAUCUCAGGAGAGAGUUCAACCGCCCUCCUGGAAUGGAACACCAACAGUUAACAAGCACACUCUUGCCCACAAACAGAACUGAGCUGAUUAAGAAGGCAGCUGUUUUGCAUAAGAACCCACGUUUUACCAGGAGUUAACACAUAUCAAAGAUGUGACCUGGAGGAGGGAGAAGUCAAGGGUCUGUCUCCUCAGGAGACAAAGACCCCAAGAACUGAAGGAAAGUAGCAGACUUUGGGGCUCAUGGCAAAGGUAGCAUUUCUCACUGUCCUCACCAACCACAACUAUGGAAAGAGUUUCGAGUUAAGGGAGACAAUGGGCCACAGAGCCUGACAUUUGUUUUAACUUUUAUUGUAUAAAUAGAACAUACACAAAUGUGUAACAUACACACACACACACACACACACACACACACACACACACACACACACAUUUGCUAGUUAAAUAAGAGUGGGGAUUUGGCUAAACAGCAGAGCCUAGAAUCCCCCAGUGAGGGGCUCAGGGCAGAACUCAAUGGUAGAGUACCUGCCUAGAAUCCCCCAGUCAGGGGCUCAGGGCAGAAGUCAAUGGUGGAGCACUUGCCUAGAAUCCCCCGGUGAGGGGCUCAGGGCAGAAGUCAAUGGUGGAGCACCUGCCUAACAUGCACAAGACCCUGAGCUCCAUCCCCAGUACCAUAAAGAGAUGUUUUGCCAGUUAUAGAACGGAGGCUGAAACCAACACAGAACAAAAUGAACCACAGGGACUUGAUUUCAUCACGCUUUUGUAGCUGCCCUUAGCAUUAAGCAUUGUCCCCAGUCUGGGGAAAUACAGCCCGGGAGGAGACAGCAACUCCCUUCCUCUGCCUGGCUUUGGGAUUCCGUGACACACACGAGGCACGGGACCACGACAGCAGUGUCACUGACAGACUUCCAGCACUCCAGACCAUCAGGAGCAGAAAGCCAGGAAGGGGUCUGCCAUGCUCUGAACCGAAGUAGCUGGAAAUUAAAAAAAGAAAAGAAAAGAAAAGAAAAAAAGGAAGGAAGGAAGGAAGGAUAGAUAGAUCAGACCAUGGAAACGGACCAGCCCAUCAAGGCAUUUUCCGGCCAAGUCUGAUGACCUAUGUUCAAUCCCCAGACCCAACAGGGUGGAGAACAAAAAAAAAAAAUCUGACUGCUGAAAGUGGUCCUGCCCUCCACACAUGUGUCCGAGCAUGUGUCCUGGCAUGAGCAUGAGUAAAGAUCCUGCCUGUGUUGAUGGGAGAAAUAACAGAAAACCUCCGAGUCAGGUCCAAAUCGUGCCUCCUCUUUUGUCCUCUGUCUUCAGCUCUCGCCCUCUCCCUCCCCAUCUGCUGCUGCCUCUCUCACGGCCAGAUCCAGUCUGCUGGCCAUGUUCAGUCUAGACCCUUCCAGAUACCUCUGGCCGUGCUCUCCCUCGUAUCUACAAUAAAAACCUUCCUUUUAACCACACCACGGAGCGGUCACAUCAUCAGUUCACCCACUCCGGAAGUCAUCCACACUGGGAUUCCCAGGAGGAAACAGGAAGUGAGUUUCUCUAGAUGCUUAUGAUAAAAAAAAAAAUAUGCAGGGAAAGAUUCAUUAAAGGAUCUACUCUGGGGCUGGAGACGGGGUGCAGUGGGUAAAGCGCCUGCCGCGCAAUUGUGAGGACCUGAGUUCAGAUCCCCAGAACCCAUGUAACACAAGUCUGUGAUCUCUGUGAGACUUCUACCAUGAGAUGGGAGAUGAACACAAGAGAAUUUCUGGGCGAUCACAGGCCAGCUAGCCUGGUGUACACUACACACAGCAGCAGAAGACAGACCCUGUCUCAAAAAAAGGAGAAGGCUAGGAACUCCGACCGGAAGAUGGCCUUCGAUGCCAUGGAGCUGGAGUUACGGGCUGCGGUGAACGACCCAGUGUGGGUGCUGGGAACUGAACCCGGGUCUACUGCUGAGCCAUCUCCCCAGCCCAAUUACGUUUUUUCAUUCUUUUUAACUUUGGGGGCAUGCUCCCACGUGCCACAUUGUGAGUGUAAAGGUCAGGUGACAACUUGUAGUUAGUUCUUUCCUUCUAACCAUGUUGGUCCCAGGGAUUGAAUUUAUAGCAACAGGCUUGGUU